AAGACAGACAGCCCCUCAUGAAAGCGGUGCACCCGCCCGGGCCGGGGGGGUACCCACUCCAGCAUCCAUCCCGCAGCUCCUAGCCCGAAGUUUUUAUUAUUAUUCCUAUUGCAAUUCCACUUCAUGGAAAGCCAUAAAGUCACCCCUCCCCCUUCCCCCUUUUCCCCAGCCCUUCUGGAUUCGCCCUCUUAGGGGCACCCACCAACCCCACAAAACUCUCUGCAGGACACCGGGGCAGGAUUGUUAUCCUCUGUUUUUUUCCCCCGGGAUGAGGCAGGCCAGAUUUGUAAAGGGACGAGUGAAUGCAGGCGCAUGUCGGAGACCCGUGCAGGUUUGGGCAGCUGAGUGGAGGGGAUUUCUGUGGGCAGCAAGCUCCUGCCUGCCAGGAGGGAUUUCCCUGUUUUCGGAAAAGGUGGCUUUGAGACCAGAUUUAGAUGGAAGGAGGUGGUUGAGUCACCUUCCCUGGAGGUGUUUAAGUGCCCGCGGUACAUUUGGAACCAGGAUCUUUGCAGGAGGCGUUUAACCCCCGGAGCUGCGGGCAGAGGCGGCUUUCUGGGAAGGGGAAUCAUCUGUCCCUUCUCCAUGCCAAAAAAAAGAGGCGCUGAACAGAUCGCUCACUUCCUAUCAGCCUCCUAACAGAUGCGGCAGCGCUGCGGGUAAGGACUUUCUUGGCCAACUUUUGCCUCUGGUUGAUGUAUUGAUGUAUAUCUCUAGGUAUACACUUAAAAAUAGUUUUUCAGCCAGGUUUCGUUUAGCUAUAAAAGUAAAAGAGAUAAAGACCGGCCUCGCAUCUGCAGUAAACUGUCAGGAGCCACCGAAAGGCAAAAGAAGACACAACAAUGCAAAAGCAGCUUUUUUAGCGGGGUCCAGCGCUCCUUUAGAGGAGCAGAGGUGAUGGUGGUAUGGUUUGGAUGUCUACUUUAGAAAAACCCGUAGAAUAGAAGAUUAAGCAGAAGAUGCUUUCACAGCCUCUCAGCCUCUGGGUAACACCUCCCUGCUCACGGGGAGUUGUGGAGAUCUCCUCAGCUCCCGGGGGAGCAGCCCAAAACUCUCCCUGCAUGGAAAACGUCAAGUCUCUGCUGCGGCUCCGCUGCCCUCCAGAAGCCACUGAUUCGGAGCAGGAGCCGCGGGAGAGGGGUCACUUCCCUCUAACCCUUGCUGGGACAAGCGGAGGGGCGACUUCAGAGGGGUGUCCGGACAGCCCUUCCCUGCCUCCGUGAGGGGCCUGUGCUCAUCUCAUUGGGAUAUCCUAUGGGGUGACCAUUCCAGCAGGGAACACGCAAAAAACAAGGACAACAUAGCAGUGGGAACUCCUUAUUUUAUUUUAUUUUAUUUUAUUUUAUUUUAUUUUAUUUUAUUUUAUUUUAUUUUAUUUUUUCUGCAAAAAAGAAACCCUGAUGUGGGUUGCAAAGCACAGCAACAAUUAGUGGAUUUCCUUUUUGAUUUUGCAGUACAUUUUAAGGGGUACCCAAAGGUGGGAAAAUAGAGAAACCUAUCAUUAUGUGGUUUCCCCACCCUCACUAAAUUAUCUCUACAAACCAAACCCUUCUGAAUCCUUCACCUUCAGUGGUACCGGCAGAGGACUUUUUCCCCUUUCAAGGAUGUUGCACAACCCAUGCUGAUUCUCACAAAUGUAUUCGUUAUUCACAGAUAGUCCUUAAGUGCUUUGGAUGGAAUCUUCCGCUCCAUAGUAUGUCCUGGUUGUCCGUGAUGACUGUUCAUUGCUCGUUAUAGAUGUCAUACAAUUGGGAGUAUGAAUCACAUCGCUUAAGUGCUGUUUGCUUGCUAAGUGAGCGCUUUUUUAACCCAUGAUAAAUUAUCAGAUUGUAAUAUCCUUGGGUAAGUGAAUAUGUUAACGAAUAAAACACUUAGAGAACGUUUUUGGGGAAUGUCUGUUCCUAUGUGUUAGAAUUCCGGAGCCGUUUCAGUGAUAUUUAUUAUUUUUCUGACAGGAGAUGGGUGGAGAGACAGAAAAGGGAUCAUUAGCAAAUUAUAUAAUAUCUUUAAAAAUGGUAAUCCCUACUGAAAUGAGCUAACAAUUAUAAUACAGUCCUGUUUUAAAGUGACUUUUCCAGAAAGGACUUUGGCAUUGAUUUCCUUACAUAAUUUUAACAUCAUUUCUUUUUUUUUUAAAUGUAUAUACAGAGAGAGAAUGCAUGGUUUUAUUGGUACUGGUUAGGGUCAGCCACAAGAGAAUUAUGGAGGUCAUGUGAAAUAGGUGCCAAUAAAGCUUUUAUUAUUGUUAUACAGUCAAAAGAGCAUUAUGAAAAGAGAUCCUUAACAGACCUAACCAUGGCUAUUUUGUUCUGUUAACAAUCAAUUGUACAGAGACAUAGUAAAAAAAAGUUACUUUACAGAGCUAUUGAACAUUAACCUAUUAUCCAUAAGACUUUUGGAAUUAUUCUGUCUCAGAAGGUCUCUUGAAAUGAAACACUGCACACAACUCUUGAUUUUGCCUAAAACAAAAGAUUUAAGUAAAAGAAAAAAAAGCACCAUCACAACAGAAUAAGACUAUUUAAAUUUUGAAAUAAAAUUUUACUUUUAUGUAAUGCAAUAUAAGAAAAUCAAACUAUUUUUUUCAUUAACGAGGUAAAAUUUAUCUCCAUUUUGCACGUACCUACAAUUUGAAUCUGAAGAUUUUCUGCCAAGACGGAGCUUGAAGUUGAGGAUUCUAAAGUAAAAUUUCAUUAAAAUGCUGUUCUCCUUCCCUCACCUAAUCUUGAAUAAUUUUAGUGGAACAUUAAACCAUUAUCAAGAACUGUAAUAAAUUUCCCCAUAUAUUGAAACAUUGGAUUCUUAGAUCAAACUUCAAAAAACAGUUGGAGUUUAAUGAAUUUAGUAAAAACUCAUACCUUCUUUAAUCUGAUUGACUCAGGAGUUUUAGAUUAAUUCCAGGACAGAGCCAAAUUCAAUCAAAUAAAGUAUUAAGAACUUAAAGUACAAAACAUCCUUUGUAUUUUUGCAGUUGAGUAAAGGAAAAUCGAUGCAUAUAUCCAAGUUAGCCUCCAAAUAACUUUAACAUUGCGGUAAAAAUUAUACUCCUUUCUGCAUUUUGAUAGUAAAAUGAUUCAAACCGUAUGUACUGCAAGGAAAAAAAAUAAGAUAAAUUGUGAAAAUUACACAGGGCUUAAUUAUAUUUAAAAAUCACCUUUAUUUGUAAGUUAUAUUCAUAAGAAACAAGUGGGCUCUGCAUCGAUAGAAAACAGAAAGCAUCUCCUUUCCAAUUACUUUUAAUUCUUUCAUCAUAAAAGAGGAAAACAUAUCAAGCUCUAAAGCUACCACUACAUCAAGGAAACUAUUUUUCAUUAUCAUGUGAAAACUGUACUUUUGCAAACCGUAUUUGAGUGAGGCAUAUUGAUUGCCCCCCACCUUAAGCCCUCUGUCACCAAUGAUAUACACACAAAUGUAAAACCAUGAAUUUUUGGAUCAGUUCAGAAAUAAUCUUUAUAGAAAUCAAUGAGCAGUCAGACUUUAUGUAAGUCAUUAAAAUCGGGGGAUGAAUGUAAUUUUCCGAUGGUUCUGUAAUAUAUUAUAAAUACCUCUGCAAUGCUCCAGUAUACGUGGAGAUAUGUAUCUGGAGAUAUAUACAGUUACAUGCUUAUGAAUAUGUUUGCGAUGGUAUAUAAAAAUUGCAUUUUCACAUAGCAUGAAAGUAGUGUUGAAAUGCCUUUAGAAAGGAUUGGACCUAGUCAAAAUUAAUACUGUCAUGAACUCAGAUCCUAAUAUAAAUCCGUGGAACCCCCAAAUGCAUUCACUUUCUUGUUCUGAAUUAUUUUGUUAUCAAGUCUGAUUAGUCCUAGAAAACCCUGAAGCAGUAGGAAGGCUGGGUCAAACACUGAGUGAACUCAAUGGUAGACCUCUGUUUGCUUUCUCUCGGCAAGCAGCACUGAGAUGUGCUAUCUUCCCUGGGAUCUCAGUGGAGCUAGGCAGGAAACCCAACUGUAUAAGCUCCUUCUCAUAAGACUCCACUUUGACUUCACAAACUCCUCAAGCUGUGUUAGAACGGUGCAUGCCAGUUCCCACAGUAAUUCCUCAUGAAAUCUGAACACUGCAGCCCACAUUCUGCCCUUGAAAGGACAUGAGAAGUCAACCUAGAAAUUUACACAGGCCUCUGGCUAUGAAAAAUAAAACCUACGCUGGAGUUAUGUGAAAUUGGAGCAAUAAGUGGACUUGCUGCAGGAAAAUUUCCACUUCACACUUUGUGAAUCCAUGUCCUAUCCAGAGGAAGCUGAAGACUUGGUUUAAAUAGAGACAUUACUGGAAAGGUGGGCAAGGAGAUCUGAAGGUGCACCUUUACUGUGCAUCACAGGGGUACAUUCUACUGACUAGUUAGGAAGAGGUACCCAUGCCCCUUUUAUCUCCUUCUUUCACGCAAAACUCUCCUCCCAUAUUUACUGGGGGGAUUAAUUAAACUAAGCACAGAUCUUUACAUCUAACCUAUGCUCCUCUUAAAGACAAAGCAUAUCUGGCCAACAUCGUCCAUACAUUCAGGGGGUAACUGUUGUGUAAAAGAAGUCAGAUUAAUCACUUCCCAACCUUCUGGCCCUGGUGAGGUUUUCUUGCCUCUUCAUGAUAAUAUGUACCAUGGUGCAGAUGAGUGAAGGGCAGCUCUGCAGAGAAGAUGCAGUUAAUUGAAUUUUAUAAGCGGAAGGCACUCAGUGGGAGAUGGGACUGCACUCUUCAGUGAGCAUGCUGUAAUAGUGUGGCCUCUCCACUCCAGGUUACAGAUGACUUGGUCUUCCCUUGUCCCACUGAAAUGUUUUGUAUGACUUGGCUUUCUUGGCUGAGUGUGUACGGGCAGGCUAAAAAGAAUUAUGUCACAAGCUUAGGCAAAUAUCUGUCCAUAGCCUUCACAAUAAACUUUCUUCCUGUCAGAUUUUGGCUUAUCAGUCUCCUUCCAGACCAUGACAGGUCAUUUAUAGCAUGAAAAAGUCCAUUAACUGCUCCUGGUAGGUAUCAGACCAUCCCGUUCUGGAGUGGGAAAGCACGUAGUCCGCAAAGGCAAGCCAUGUCACGCCACUUGCCCUUAGAGCUAGAGGAUGAGGCCAGCUUCAGGCCAUCCUGAAGCACCCAAAAUCAUCCACCAAGGGACAGCGGUUUUCUCAGAUAGUAGGAGGAAAACAUGCCCUGUCAUCACAAUGUGCAGUUAAUGGUAGUUUGGCUAGGUGAUGUGCAGUUUGCAAAACCUCUUGUCUACAUGUCCUCCACUCCCCAGCCAGCAUCCUUGCAAAAGUCUGGCAAACACCAGCCCUUUAGCAGUAUUUAUAACUAUAUAUCUAUCUGAUGAGCCACUCUCUAAAAGUAGGCUAACUCAAAACAUACAUUGCUGCUUGGAAAUGCAGAUGUGAAGGGAUAUCUGGUUCUAAUAUACAGAUCACCUUAUGGUGUGGCAGGUUUCAGUUUCCACAAUAGAGAGUGCAUUUGUGCUAGGAGUGAUUUAAGCCAUUUGGGACCUUCAAAAGCAGAAACCCUUCAUGAACCUUAUUGAAAAUGACUAUGCUUGGAGAAAAAAAAGUAAAAGAAACUAGGGGAGUGAUCCAAGAUCACACACAUCUAAAGGGUGGAAAAGGAAGCCUUUUCCAAAAUGUUGCUCUUUCUCACAGAAGACGCUUAAGCUGAGUGUGAGACAAGUAUCUCCAUACCUUUGUUGAGCUAUGAAGCCCUGCUAAUGCUGCAACUGACAUCUUGCUAUGAAAACCCACCAGAUUCAGCCCAAAAGAGUCUGUUUAUUAAAUAUUAGCAGUAUUUGCCAUAAUAAUUUCUAUUGCAUUUUCUUUUUUUGUAUUUCUCCUUUUGCUUAGGGAGGCAAUAAGGAGACGACAAAGCAGACUUUUCCUUUCAGAUACACCUGGUGGAUUUGAACUCUGAUAUUUCUCUUUGCCUUACUGCACGGAAAUCCCUUAGGAAGACCAAAAUACCAGCAAAAAGAUCGGCUGUGCAGAUUGGAAAGAAGGAUUUUGCCCUUGGGUCCAAAACCGGAAUGUUUUCUGCAGAUUGUAGACUCCAUAAAACAUAUGUACUUAAUAAAUAAGCAAACAAGGCUUGUGCUUGAAUGGGGCUUCCGUGCAGUAAAGGAGAACAACAUUUGGCAAGUUGGGGUCAAGGGGGUUGACGCUUGCACCCCAGAGCCACAUUUUUGCAAAUACCUACUUUUCUCCUUCACACAAACUGUGCUGUUGAGGUGCACCAGAAGAACCUUUUGGAAGCUUAUUCUAGGGGAUCUGAAAUGAUCUUCCUCACAGAGCUGACUGUCCACAUGCAGAAAACGGAGGGAAUACAUCCACCUUGUCAAACUGGUAAACAAGAUGAGCUAAGAAGGCUUUCCCUCAUUUGCAUCUACUGUCUCACUGCCUGCACAGGUCAGCAGAGAAAAUAACAGAGGGGAAGUAGCUGGAAUGACACCAACACUCCGAGCUUUUGGCACCCCUUUGCAGCAGGAGCUCAGGGUCUUUUUGCAUCCCUUCACUCUGGAGCUGUCAGCAAGUUACACACCCUGUCAUGUAUCUCAGAGCUGCUGAAACGUUAUGUGCUCCGUCUCCACCUUUUGCAGAGCUCGCCUGACCCUGCCUUGCUCCUUGCUUAGGGUGAAGUGAUUUCAAUCCCCUCAGCAGCCCCAGAGGGUCAUCCAGUCUUGGUCAGGCCUAAGAGGUUGUCCUUUUACAUUUAGCAAAAGAGAAACAUGUCCACCAUCUGCUUGCAAUUGCUCUCUAAGACGCUGAGCAUAGCCUUUGCUUUCACAUGUCUCCUGAACGUUUGACAAUCAGGAUAUUCAGAGUGAGUGAGAUCUUAUCGGUACUUUUUGGUUGUCAGACCAAAGGCCUGAACACCACCAGGUCUCCAAAGGAUUCAGUUGCAAUGGAGGACACGUGUGUUAAACAAGGUGGUUGUCCACAGCAGCAAGCACAUUUCCAGUGCACCAUGAUGCCCGCUCGGGCCAGGAGCCAGCCAGAUGUCAAGUCUGAUAGAUUUAUUUUGACUUUUUCUGUGUGGAGAGGCAAGAGGAGAACCUGCAGUGUAUGACCCAUCUCCUCUUUCUGUGCACCCCUACUUGGCAGGGACGAACGCUACUGCAAAUUUUGCCAGAGAUCACUGUAGAGGACAAUGAUGUUAAACCGAACACCUAACUUCUAACUGGUUGAUGCUGGUUGAAAUGAAAUCUACCUUUAUUUCUUAAUUUUUUGUCUGCUUCUAGCUUGUCUAGCUGGAAUAAUCCUUUCCUCUUCCUCCAUUUGUACCUUUUAGUGUUAAGAAUGGCAGGAGCAGAAUAAGGACCUGACUCAUCACUCCCUCUUUUGCUUAUCCUUAAAAAUGUAUGUAUAUAGACUCAAAACUGUGUCAUACAAAGGUGUAGGGCAGACAUACCCUUACAUAAAAUGGCAAGUUUUAUGUGAUUGUCACCAAAAUCUUACAGGCUACAUUGAUGUCAAGGUCAAGUUCGGUUGAGGAUAAAAAACCUAGUGUCUGCUUAGAUUUGUUGUUCUCUUAGUCCACAGGGAUAAAAACAAUUGGCUAAUUUGGAACUCUUAACCUUCACUGUAAUUUUAAUUGUUUUACUAAGUACAACAAUUAUAUAUUUCUGAAUUAGCUAUAUUUGGUUAUGUGUAUUAACCUCAUUUUCAGUUGACAAAAAAUAAUAAUGAAGUGACAAUGAAAUAUUUCCUCUGAUUUUGAGAUAGUCCGUGGAAUCUUUUGGGCACCUCUGGGAUCAACAGGAGACUAAAAAUCGACUUUGAUUCUGAGUCUUAUAUACAUAUUUUCAUUUUUGAUAUCUUUACCAAGGUCAGUUGAAAAAAAAAAUGUGUGAAAUCUACUGAGAUUUGGCUCUAGAAAAGCUACCUUAGGCUUAUGAGAUACAAAUUUAAGUGUGGAUUAUCCUUGAGAAGCCUGAGCCUGGGGAAUCUGAACUUGUUCUUUCCAUAAGGACCUAAUUUGUAGUUUGUAUGAGAAGGAUUAAUCGGGAUUUAAGCAGUACUUGCAUCUUGUUGAUCCUAAGGAACCCUUAGUGUUAUUUAAAGAGCUUUGGGAGCCUUGUUGACACCUAAUGAUGACCUAUAGAUUCUUUGGAUUCAAUUUAAAUUCAGAUUAAUAUUCCAGAUUAGAUUGCUACUGCCAAUUUUGCAGACAGUAGCAUCCUAAAGGGGUUAUCUGUACAUAAUCAGAAGGUAAGCAGGUUAUGUCGACACAGACUAUUUAAUUUGGACCAUAACCAACGUGUUUAAGAAAAGAAGUAUAAAAAUCCUAAGGUUGUCUUUCGCAAAGUCUGAAUCUGGGGAAAUUAUUAGCUGGUAUGUGAGUUUAUACGGCCUUCGUUUAGGAAGAGAAGUCUGGAUCUGGAUGAGGUCUGCAGAAAGUAAUCCAGAACCUUCUGAGCAACUGUCUGGAUCUGACCUAUUUCAAGAUAGUGAUCUUUAACUGUAGGCCACAUGGGCUUUGUUCUGAACCUGACUUAUUUCUGUUCUGUGGUCUUAUCUGAUGGUUCUCCAAGGUGCAUAUUUGGCUGGACUUCCUUGGUGUGGAAAAAUACACCUGUGAAGCAACACACAGGAAGAGAUUUUCACUGGCAGGGACCAGCACUUUGCAUCUUUUCCUUGUGUAAAUAAAGCCAACACAAAAAGUGUCUGAUGAUUCUGCACUUAUUUUGAAAGAGAUUAAAAUACUUCUCUGCACACACACACCCAUCCCCCACCCCCCUUUUAGUUUCCUCUGUGUCCUGAAUUGCUCUAUCAGAGUGUUCUAAUCUGCUUUCAAAAUGUGUGCCUGUAUUCACUUGCAUGGAAGAAAAUGCAAAUAUUAAUUUAAGUGGAACAUAAGUGAAAAUAAGAGGAUGUAGAAUAACAUCUUUGUUAAUCCUCCAUAGAUAUGAUACGUAGAUGUGUUUAAAUUGCUUAAAUACCAGAGCAGAAUGCUAUCUCGCUGAGUUAGUGUGUCUGGAGAUCAAAUCGUCCUUAUUACAGUGCCACCUCGAGGACGGAUUCCUCCCUGGAUCAAACGCAGAUCUCUGCAAAGUGUUUCCAACCUGAUCUGAGGGAUGUGGUUUUCUCAUUUCC